rnacentral:rRNA from 1 species
UUCGGGCCUUGGUAGCGCAGCUAACGCGUGAAGUUGACCGCCUGGGGAGUACGGUCGCAAGAUUAAAACUCAAAGGAAUUGACGGGGACCCGCACAAGCGGUGGAUGAUGUGGAUUAAUUCGAUGCAACGCGAAAAACCUUACCUACCCUUGACAUGUCUGGAAUGCCGAAGAGAUUUGGCAGUGCUCGCAAGAGAACCGGAACACAGGUGCUGCAUGGCUGUCGUCAGCUCGUGUCGUGAGAUGUUGGGUUAAGUCCCGCAACGAGCGCAACCCUUGUCAUUAGUUGCUACGAAAGGGCACUCUAAUGAGACUGCCGGUGACAAACCGGAGGAAGGUGGGGAUGACGUCAAGUCCUCAUGGCCCUUAUGGGUAGGGCUUCACACGUCAUACAAUGGUCGGGACAGAGGGUCGCCAACCCGCGAGGGGGAGCCAAUCCCAGAAACCCGAUCGUAGUCCGGAUCGCAGUCUGCAACUCGACUGCGUGAAGUCGGAAUCGCUAGUAAUCGCGGAUCAGCAUGUCGCGGUGAAUA